GUGAAUCAUCGAAUUUUUGAACGCAAAUUGCACUUUCUGGUAUUCCGGAAGGUAUGCCUGUUUGAGGGUCAGUUAAAUAAAAAUCGGUGUUGUUGCUGCUUUUCGUGGUGACGCGUCGGAAUUGAGUUGUCUUACCCUCGGUUAAGUGACUUAAAAGUUGCAUGAUUUUUGAAAGGUAUUAAAUUUUUUACGUAACGUUGAAGUUU
rnacentral:misc_RNA from 1 species